UCCCUUGUGGUCCAGUGGCUAAGACUCUGCACCCCUAAUGCAGGGGAGCCAGGUUCAAUUCCUGGUUAGGGAA